GCAUGCAGCAGCCCCCAGAGAGUCCCAGCCUUGGGUUCAGGCAUUGCCUAAACCUCCCUGGGGAGACCUGAGCUGUUUCUUAGGGGAAGAGCACCAACUUCAGCCCAGGAGAACCAGGAGAUCCACGGUCCUCAGUCCCAGCAGGAGCUGUGCUGGUCUCAGGUGGAUUGCCAGGAAUCCUGGAGAGCUUGGUUGACUUGAGGCCAGCUGUAACUCUUGUGAAAAGGAGACUGUUCCACACCCAGUUCAGACUGAAUCUGCAGACACCAAUAAAAUACAGAUGGUAAAGGUUAGAGCACUUUCCUGGAGAGAACAUCUGGAUGUUUCAUGACCUUCACAACCUGGUGGCUUCUGAGCAGAGUAACCCAAGGAGAUUUGUGUGAUCUCACUGGGUGCUGAGUGCUUAUGAAGACUCCAAAGAUAUCCUUUGCCAAUACUCUUAAAUCUGGUCUCUUUUGAGAAGGGGAGAGAAAUAUAUUCCCUGCUUCCCAGCUGGAGGAAACAACUGUCUCUCUGGAACAAAUCAGUGGUUCAAGGCUGAAAUUGCUUGAAGAUGAUGGCUAAUACUUUUUUAACAUCCUCUGGUUUGGUGCUCUUAUACUUAAAAACAA